GACAGCGGCGAUAGCACGUUGAAUGAAGCAGUUCCAUGUGGAUUAUUAAGGUUAAGCAACGUUGCGUGUUGUUAUUAAUCGGAUGGGUGACCAUCAGGGCGAUCAUGUCAGGGCGUUGGCU
rnacentral:rRNA from 1 species